rnacentral:rRNA from 1 species
UACAGAGGUCUCAAGCGUUUGUUCGGAUUCAUUGGGCGUAAAGGGUGCGUAGGUGGCGCUGUAAGUCAGGUGUGAAAUUUCGGAGCUUAACUCCGAAACUGCAUUUGAUACUGCGGUGCUUGAGGACUGGAGAGGAGAUUGGAAUUCACGGUGUAGCAGUGAAAUGCGUAGAUAUCGUGAGGAAGACCAGUGGCGAAGGCGGAUCUCUGGACAGUUCCUGACACUGAGGCACGAAGGCUAGGGGAGCAAACGGG